UACGUAGGGGGCAAGCGUUGUCCGGAUUUAUUGGGCGUAAAGAGCGUGUAGGCGGCCAGUCGGGUCCGUUGUGAAAACUCGAGGCUCAACCUCGAGACGCCGAUGGAAACCGACUGGCUAGAGUCCGGAAGAGGAGAGUGGAAUUCCCGGUGUAGCGGUGAAAUGCGUAGAUAUCGGGAGGAACAUCAGUGGCGAAGGCGGCUACCUGGCCCAAUACUGACACUCAGGUGCGACAGCGUGGGGAGCAAACAGG
rnacentral:rRNA from 1 species